UACGAAGGGGGCUAGCGUUGCUCGGAAUCACUGGGCGUAAAGGGUGCGUAGGCGGGUCUUUAAGUCAGGGGUGAAAUCCUGGAGCUCAACUCCAGAACUGCCUUUGAUACUGAGGAUCUUGAGUUCGGGAGAGGUGAGUGGAACUGCGAGCGUAGAGGUGAAAUUCGUAGAUAUUCGCAAGAACACCAGUGGCGAAGGCGGCUCACUGGCCCGAUACUGACGCUGAGGCACGAAAGCGUGGGGAGUAAACAGG
rnacentral:rRNA from 1 species